AAGAAUUUAGGUUAAAAUAGACCAAGAGCCUUCAAAGCUCUAAGCAAAAGUGAAAAUCCUUUAAUUCUUG
rnacentral:tRNA from 1 species